rnacentral:rRNA from 1 species
UACGUGGGGUGCAAGCGUUGUCCGGAAUUAUUGGGCGUAAAGAGCUCGUAGGCGGUUCGUCGCGUCGGCUGUGAAAACCCGAGGCUCAACCUCGGGCCUGCAGUCGAUACGGGCGGACUGGAGUUCGGCAGGGGAGACUGGAAUUCCUGGUGUAGCGGUGAAAUGCGCAGAUAUCAGGAGGAACACCGGUGGCGAAGGCGGGUCUCUGGGCCGAUACUGACGCUGAGGAGCGAAAGCGUGGGGAGCGAACAGG